GAAGGUAGUGAAUUUGUUCGA
rnacentral:miRNA from 1 species